rnacentral:rRNA from 1 species
GAAACCGCGAAUGGCUCAUUAAAUCAGUUAUGGUUCCUUAGAUCGUUUCUUCCUACUUGGAUAACUGUGGCAAUUCUAGAGCUAAUACAUGCAGUGAGCCUGGAGCCCUUUGGGUAACGGGUGCUUUUAUUAGACCAAGAUCGAUCGGGUUUCGGCCCGUAUUGUGUGGUGACUCUGGAUAACUUUGUGCUGAUCGCAUGGCCACGAGCCGGCGACGUUUCUUUCAAGUGUCUGCCUUAUCAACUUUCGAUGGUAGGUUACUUGCUUACCAUGGUUGUUACGGGUAACGGAGAAUCAGGGUUCGAUUCCGGAGAGGGAGCCUGAGAAACGGCUACCACAUCCAAGGAAGGCAGCAGGCGCGCAAAUUACCCACUCCCGGCACGGGGAGGUAGUGACGAAAAAUAACAAUACGGGACUCUUUUGAGGCCCCGUAAUUGAAAUGAGUACACUCUAAAUCCUUUAACGAGGAUCAAUUGGAGGGCAAGUCUGGUGCCAGCAGCCGCGGUAAUUCCAGCUCCAAUAGCGUAUACUAAAGCUGCUGCGGUUAAAAAGCUCGUAGUUGGAUCUCAGUUCCAGACGAGUAGUGCAUCUACCCGAUGCGACGGCUCGGACUGAACAUCAUGCCGGUUCUUUCUUGGUGCACUUCAUUGUGUGCCUCGAGAUGGCCGGUGCUUUUACUUUGAAAAAAUUAGAGUGCUCAACGCAGGCGAGUCGCCUGAAUAAACUUGCAUGGAAUAAUAGAACAAGACCUCGUUUCUGUUCUGUUGGUUUUUGGAAUACGAGGUAAUGAUUAAGAGGGACGGACGGGGGCAUUCGUAUUGCGGCGCUAGAGGUGAAAUUCUUGGACCGUCGCAAGACGAACUACUGCGAAAGCAUUUGCCAAGAAUGUUUUCAUUGAUCAAGAACGAAAGUCAGAGGUUCGAAGGCGAUCAGAUACCGCCCUAGUUCUGACCAUAAACGAUGCCAACCAGCGAUCCGCCUGAGUUACUCAAAUGACUCGGCGGGCAGCUUCCGGGAAACCAAAGUAUUUGGGUUCCGGGGGAAGUAUGGUUGCAAAGCUGAAACUUAAAGGAAUUGACGGAAGGGCACCACCAGGAGUGGAGCCUGCGGCUUAAUUUGACUCAACACGGGAAAACUUACCCGGCCCGGACACUGGGAGGAUUGACAGAUUGAGAGCUCUUUCUUGAUUCGGUGGAUGGUGGUGCAUGGCCGUUCUUAGUUGGUGGAGCGAUUUGUCUGGUUAAUUCCGAUAACGAACGAGACUCUAGCCUAUUAAAUAGGUGCGGGGUUCCCAGCACCUUACAACCUUCUUAGAGGGACAAGCGGCUCCUAGCCGCACGAAACAGAGCAAUAACAGGUCUGUGAUGCCCUUAGAUGUCCGGGGCCGCACGCGCGCUACACUGAAGGAAGCAGCGUGUCUUUAUCCCUGUCUGAAAAGACUGGGUAACCCGUGGAACUUCUUUCGUGAUUGGGAUAGGGGCUUGCAAUUGUUCCCCUUGAACGAGGAAUUCCCAGUAAGCGCGAGUCAUAAGCUCGCGUUGAUUACGUCCCUGCCCUUUGUACACACCGCCCGUCGCUACUACCGAUUGAAUGAUUUAGUGAGGUCUUCGGACCGAUGUCCGGCGCGGCCUUUCGGUUGCGCCGGUCUGUUGGAAAGAUGACCAAACUUGAUCAUUUAGAGGAAGUAAAAGUCGUAACAAGGUUUCCGU